rnacentral:rRNA from 1 species
AUUGAACGCUGGCGGCAGGCUUAACACAUGCAAGUCGAGCGAGCGGCGGACGGGUGAGUAAUGUCUGGGAAACUGCCUGAUGGAGGGGGAUAACUACUGGAAACGGUAGCUAAUACCGCAUACCAUCGGAUGUGCCCAGAUGGGAUUAGCUAGUAGGUGGGGUAAUGGCUCACCUAGGCGACGAUCCCUAGCUGGUCUGAGAGGAUGACCAGCCACACUGGAACUGAGACACGGGCCAGACUCCUACGGGAGGCAGUAGUGGGGAAUCUUGCGCAAUGGGCGAAAGCCUGACGGAGCAAGGCCGCGUGAGUGAAGAAGGUCUUCGGAUUGUAAAACGCUUUUAGUAGGGAGGCGUUACCUGAACAGGAAGCCACGGCUAACUACGUGCCAGCAGCCGCGGUAAUAC